ACGGAAGGCAGCAGUGGGGAAUAUUGCACAAUGGGGGAAACCCUGAUGCAGCGACGCCGCGUGAGUGAAGAAGUAUUUCGGUAUGUAAAGCUCUAUCAGCAGGAAAGAAAAUGACGGUACCUGACUAAGAUGCCCCGGCUAACUACGUGCCAGCAGCCGCGGUAAUACGUAGGGGGCAAGCGUUAUCCGGAUUUACUGGGUGUAAAGGGAGCGUAGACGGCUUUGCAAGUCUGAAGUGAAAGCCCGGGGCUCAACCCCGGAACUGCUUUGGAAACUGUAGAGCUAGAGUGCAGGAGAGGUAAGUGGAAUUCCUAGUGUAGCGGUGAAAUGCGUAGAUAUUAGGAGGAACACCAGUGGCGAAGGCGGCUUACUGGACUGUAACUGACGUUGAGGCUCGAAGGCGUGGGGAGCAAACAGGAUUAGAUACCCUGGUA
rnacentral:rRNA from 1 species